rnacentral:rRNA from 1 species
GGACUGCCUGAUGGCGGGGGAUAACUACUGGAAACGGUAGCUAAUACCGCAUAACGUCGCAAGACCAAAGAGGGGGACCUUAGGGCCUCUUGCCAUCGGAUGUGCCCAGAUGGGAUUAGCUAGUAGGUGGGGUAAUGGCUCACCUAGGCGACGAUCCCUAGCUGGUCUGAGAGGAUGAUCAGCCACACUGGGACUGAGACACGGCCCAG